AUAUUGAUGACAAAAUACAACAUUUUUUCCAAAAAACUCUGGUGCCUUAAGGGUUAAUUUUUGGUCACACAUAAGGCAUAAUUCAAAAAUGCAAAGUGUUGGUAGUUUGAAAAAUCAAGAAUAAUAACAGAGUUAACACUAAUUAUUGCUAAAUGCUGGACCGUUCUCAUUUCGCUCUGCAUAUGAAACCUGAUGAUUUUUUUUAAACCAAGAAUGAACCGAAAUGAAAAUGAAAUGAAAACUUAUAUAAUAUAGCCCUUUAAUUUAUUUACUGUUUAAUAAAAAAUAGCAUGCAUAUGAUCCUUUGUGUAAUGGUCUUCUUUUAAUUUUUGCUGAGUAGACUGUAGCCUAAGACUAUCCUACAUUUUGAAAUUAACAAAUUGUACAUUUGUUUUUUUUCUUUAAAUGUUACAAUGUUAUAUCAUAAUGUUAUUGUUGUUUUACUUCCUUCUUUUAUCUAAUUUUACAAUUACAUUAAUUUCGCAUUCUGUCCCUUUGCGCCACCUGGCGAUACUUUCGCAAAUGAUUUUAACACGCGACUAAAUUACAGUUACGCGGUGGCGGUAAUGCCCAAUUAGGCUGGCCAUCAACUGUAUAUAAUACUAUGCUAAAUAGAUGCUAAAAUACUCUAUCCUGAUCAUUUUCAAUACUCGCAAUUCCAACUCCUGACUCUCUACAGUGAUUGUGACGUUAAAUAGCUACUAUAGCAUUUUAUUUUCUGAAAAUUAAAUAAAGAAGUUUUCACACUGAAAGAGAAGUGAUCUUGCUCUCAGAGGCAUGCCAGGCAGCUAAACUGAAUUUAUCUGCAGCUAAACUGAAUUUAUGACAGUACAGAAACUAUAAAGUAUAUUUUCUACCUCAUUCUGUGCAGAAAAUUUAAAUAACUGAUAAUUAAAUGUAGCCUAGUAUAUAAAUCAAUCAUAAAAUUGCCAUUUGGAAAAAAUUAUCGAUAACAAAUGAUUGAAUAUUAUUCCAGCAAUGUAUUUGAUUUCUUACAGUUAAUUAAAAGUAAUAAAAAAAAGAAGAGAAUUCCUUGUAAAAAAAUAAAAAUACAAUAAAAUUAAUAAUAAUAAUAAUUAUGAUAAUACAUAGGCUACAUACAUAAAACAAUUGUAUUUGACAUUUCUGUCACUUCUGAAAUGAUGGCUACAUCCCCGGUGUGACAAAAUAUUAGCUUAUACAUAAUACUCUUAAAGCUCUUUUUUAAAAUCUUGGCUUACAUACAUUAUUGCGUAUGCCAUAGCAACAUUAAACUAGCAUAUAACAAUGGACAAAAUGUGUUUUCUUUUUUCUUUUUUCUAAUCUAUGGUCCUCUAACCAUAAAGGCUGGUGUAAUUUGACCCCUGACUUAGCAUUUACAAAAUUUAGGGGAAGCAUUUAAAUAAUCCUGUGAAUGCACUUAAAGAGUGCAAAAUCUAAACAUUAUAAUCAAAUCGAAUCGAAUUAAUUGUGAAUCAAAUUAGAAUUGAAUCGUUCUAAAUUUGCAGAAAUCGUUCUUGAAUCGAAUCGAAAACCUAUGAAUCGUGAAUCGAAUCGCUGCCUUCCCAAAGAUUCACAGCCCUAGAAAAUAGGCAAGAGUUUGUUAGCACUCAAAAUUUACAGGUUCACAAAUUAUAAAUAACUUCAAGCAUUACUCUCAUCUUACACAAUCACAUACACUUAUAACACUAAAUAUCCAUCAGCUCUCUGAAGCUACAGUACUCAUUAAAUUAGUUUAUUUUUUAUUCUGAAAACAGUUUUCAAUACAAAAAAGCCUUCCAAGCUUAACAUUUUUAAAUAAACUAAACCAUUAUCAUUACACAGAAGGGUAAAAGGUUAUUAUGCUUUUAACAGUUUUAAAACACAAAUACUACACUAGCAAUUUUCAAAGCUUAUCUUCUACUGUGUACAUGGUAACACUGGUACUUUCCAGGCAGCCUUGGGACUUUCCACCCAACCCCCAUCUUUAAGUGCUGACUUUCAUACUCACAGGCAUGGGCGGAUGUUAUUUUUCCAAACUGACAGUAUAGAGACAGAAUCCAUUUAGGCCAUGCCCACACUGGGGGGAAGCAAUCCAAGGCUCUCCAUUGACUUUCUAUCGCAGGAAGCAAAUUUAUAAGUCAUAAGUCGGAAAUGACAAGGAGGCAGCUUCCCGCAACAGAAAGUCAAUGGAGAACUCUGGAUUGCACCCCCACCCGGUGGACGUGGUUUUCAGAUUAUGACGAUGAUGCAAUCUCAACGAAAAAGGGUCACGAUCGUGUGUUGGAACCGCAGGCGGUGAGUAAAACUGCUUAAAAUAUCUCUGCCUCCUUGUUAGUGCGUCCGCCUCCCAUGCCGGAGACCCGGGUUCGAGCCCCGCUCGGAGCGAGUCGUUACUGCUUCAGCUCUCGUUCAGUUUCAGCCUCGGGAUCUGAUUCUGGAUCAUAAAUAAACGGCUGAAUCUGACUGUUAGCCAUGGUUUGUUUUGGAUGAUGUUUUUUUUUCCUCACGGUAAUGUCACAGCUUCCAAACGCUCUCAACGCAAAAGCCUACUGGCGCUCGUGAUUCUUUAGCUCGGCCCACACGUCACGCCUCCAGCCGGUCGUGUUUUUCCGGGAAAAAUCGGUACAGACUAUCUUUCUCUUAUGAAUAUAAUAAAACUAAAGACUUUUUGGAGUUAUGAAGGAUGCAGUACUACUCUAUAGGUACUCAAGAUUAACAGGAUAUUGAGUGAAAACGAGCAUUUCACCCCCCAACUCGAUUUUUAUUAACAUUAACAAAGAUGAAUAAAUUGUGUAAUAAAUGUAUUGUUCAUUGUUCAUUCAUGUUCGUUAAUAUAUUAAUGUUAACAAAUGGCAUCUUAUUGUAAAGUGUUACCAUUAAUAUUUAUUCAUCAUACUGUUGAACUUGACAGUAUUUUCUCUCUUGUUAUUUCAUAAGAGCUUCAAAGAAGACGGAGAAAGCCAGAGUCUUGUGCCCUGCGUUUAUCAGUAUCAAUAUUAUGCUCGUUGGGUGAAAAAGAAAAACUCAAUGAACAAAGUAAAAAAUAAUUUUGACUGACAUCUUCCCUACCCCAAGGUUUCUAUAGAUAUCACGAUAUAUCGACAUCGUGAAUUCUUAUGGCCACAAUAACCGUGAUAUGAAAAAUCUAAUAUCGUGACAGCCCUAUUACAGAGACCAACAAUUUUUUAUCUAUAGUUUAACUUGCAGGAAUUAAUUAUUCACCUUAAGUCUAUCAAUCAUUCAGAAUCACUAAACAAACCAAAAAACAAAUGAAAACAUUCUGAAUGUACAGAAACUAAGCAAUCUGAAGGCGGUCAUCAUCAUCAAUAAACAGGCUCUGUCAGAACAAGCCACCAUGUCUGUGUUAGUAGCAUCUGAGGCCCUUAUGUACCUAAACACCACUGAUCCUCACAAACUUCUCCAAAACAUUCUCUUUUGGUGAGUCCCUAUAAUGUCUUUUUUUUUUUUUUUAACAUGCCCAGUUUUUUCUCACAAUGAAAUUUGCAGGUGGGUAAAGUUUAUGAAUUCAAAGGAUAUGUUCUGAGUACAAUAAAUUAGGCAAUGCAUUUCAUAUGACUUUCAAUUAUAUUAGAUACAAUAGCAGUCAGUGGAAUUAACUUAUAAGCCUUACGUUAUUUUCUAUAUAUAUUAAUCAAUUAUGAUAACAGGCAGACAGAGCAUUACAUGUUUUUUACUUAAGACAUUUUUAAGACAGGUCGUCGUUUAAUGCUUAUCAGCAGUUUAAUAGUUUAUUUCUUUUUCAUCUUUCUUUGUGAUCAUCCCUCUUCUAUACAGAUUCUCUUGAAAUCAAUUAUUUCAAAGAAAGAAUACUUAUUUAAAAUAUGGAAAAUAAAUCCUCUUUCUUCAUUUUAAAAUGUGUAAUACUCCACUCGUUUUCAUACCAGAUAACAUUUUAUAGCUUCUCAAACAGAAAAUGUAAUUCACAUUCAUGAGUUCUUCCUUUUUUUCUUUUUUUUUUUCAAGCACAGAAAAACUUGUUUUCAGACAUAACAUUAGUUGUAUAUUAAAAAAAUAUAUGCUGAUAGAUAAAAUCACUAUAAAGUUGACAAAAAGCUAUAGCCAAAUGACUGACACCAAGGUAAAGCUCACCAAAGAUUGAAAAUAUCCUAGGACAUAUCCACAGAGGUAAGUGAAGAUAGUAUAUCCAGACUGAAGGAGAACCCUUUGGUUCAAGAGGCAAAAGAGUGGAUCAACAUCAAGCGAAAAGGAGGGAUAUUUUUCCAUCUAGCUACAGUGCAGUGGUAGAUUAAAGGGAUUGGGAAUGUCCAUGGAGAGGGUGGCAAUAAAUGCAGAGCAAGAGGCAGAGGGUUGCCCUGGGUACCUGGUGAGUUGUUUGAAACAGAACACACAGAAGCGAUGUCCACACUGUGCUUGGAAAGGUUUCCUAAGAAUUUCUUUGCACUGCUGACAUUGAUAUUUUGGUUCCAUGGACACAGACAGCACUUCUCGAGAUAUCCCAGGUAAUGUGGAGUCCAAUGAAGAAGGUAAAGAUGGACGUGCCAUUGCCUUCCAUUUACCCACAGUGCCAGCAGUGCUGAUCAUCUGUAUAAAAAAAUGAAUAAAAAAGCACAAAUUAACAGAAUAACGGCAGACGUGUUUUAAUACCUUUGUUUAAAAAUCAACAUAAAAUUGCAUUUACAAUUAAUUUAUCUUUCAUUAUAUGACAUACAGUAUUAAUGAGUGAAAGAGGAUAUUCAACCACAUAAAAAAAGUGUAGGGUUGGACUUGGAAAGAGUCACACUAGAAUGUGAAACUGAUGUCAUUUUUUUUAAUUCAUUACAAAAAUACUAUAAAUACUAUUAUAAGUCUGCAUUAUUUUGUGCACAGUGUAACUGCUGGACAAAUCAGACACAUCAUUAUAUUGUAUUUAACGAACUGCCCAGUAGACCCCUCACCAAACAACUGGAGUUGGUGCCGGGAUGUCUGUGAUACCCCAAGGCCACUGGUUACCAUAGCAGCAAGGAAACAUUAAGAGAUAAGAAUUACAUCUCAAAGGCUGACAAGUGCUUGUGAGUGAGAGGGUAUGAGACAGCUCAGUUUUGGUUUAAAAGAGUUCAAAAAUAUUUGUUAUCGGUCAUAACUUAUGGAGAAAAAAUAUAGCAGACACUGUAAAUAGUUUUGAGGCAGUUGUGGCCUAAGGGUUAGAGAGUCGGACUUGUAACCCAUUGGUUGCAGAUUCGAGUCUCAGGAUCGACAGCGAUUGUAGGUGGGGGGAGUGAAUAACAAGCGCUCUCUCCACCUUCAAUUCCAUGACUGAGGUGAGACCCUGAUCACUGCAGCAAUAUGGCUGCCCACUGGUCCUCGUUUGUAUAAAGUGGUGUAUAAAGUUCCUGAAAGUCAUACUCAAGUAAAAGUACAGAUAUCUUACCAGAAAAUGACUUUGUCAGAAGUUGAAGCCACCCUUUAGAAUACGGAGUAAAAAUCUUUGACAUUUAUUGUAAUUAAAACAUAAUAAUUAUUUUUUAAAUCUUAAACUUAUUUGAGUAUUGAAAGUAAAAGAACAAGUAAAUACAAAAUGGAAAGAAGCAAAUAUAUAUAAAUAUUCAUGCCAACACACACACACACAAACUAUAUAUAUAUAUAUAUAUAUAUAUAUAUAUAUAUAUAUAUAUAUAUAUAUAUAUAUAUAUAUAUAUAUAUAGGAAUAUCUACGUGCCGCCCCCCACACAUAAAAAAAAAAACACCAUAGCCUAAGGGGCCGUUCACAUAUGGCACCUAAAAAGCGUGGAAAACGCUAGGCGCGCUGCUUUCUCCUUCUCCAAAGCGCUCAAGUAGUUGCAUUCCUGAGGCGUCUGCCAUUGCUAAGCAACCAUGUCCUGCUCUCUCCAUGAAGACACAGAAAUUUCAGCAAAUGGAUUUGCAGCACUGAAAAUCACUUGCAGUAGCUCUGCUACUAAAUUUAUUUCAAAAUAGCAAUCCAUAUAUAGCUAUGGUCAGCUGUUCGUUCAUCUUGGCUGAGAUUUUAACGAUGUUAUGGGAAAGGAUGAAGCUGAUUGGAUAGUUCUUGUCACAUGACCUGCGGUGCGCUUGCGGCUCUCUGAAAAGUUGAGAUGUUUUUAACUCAAUGCGGUGUGGACGCGCCUGGAAAAACGAGCGUGUCGCUACCGCGUCGCUUCCAUUAUGAGCUACAUUGGAAAUAACGAACAUGAGCACGCAAAAGACGCAAUAUGUGAACAGCCCCUAAUGGAGAUACAAUCACAAAUGUUUAACAGUGAGUCAUAAACAGGACUAUCUGGAUUAUAAAUUUUUUUAGGGAUCGGCGUUUUCAGCAAAUAUCAUAUUCGAAUAUUUGAGCUCACAAAAAAACAAUAUUCGAAUAUUUGUUUAUUUAAAUUAAGUUUAAUGAGACAGAUAUUACAUCACACACACACAGAUAUUUACAUAUCACACACACACACAUAUAUAUAUAUAUAUACAUAGUGGCUAAAUUAACGAAAAAUAAAGCCUCAACAAGUGUUGACAUUUCCCAACACCACAGCAGUAAUGACUUUAUGAACUACUUUACUUCUAAAAUCGAUACUAUUAGAGAUAAAAUUGCAACCAUUCAGCCGUCAGCUACAGUAUCACAUCAGUGCACUAUAGACCCCCUGAGGAACAGUUCCACUCAUUCUCUACUAUAGGAGAGGAAGAACUGUAUAAACUUGUUAAAUCAUCUAAACCAACAACAUGUAUGUUAGACCCUAUACAAUCUAAGCUCCUAAAAUAGGUGCUUCCAGAAGUCAUAGAUCCUCUUCUGACUAUUAUUAAUUCCUCAUUGUCAUUAGGGUAUGUCCCCAAAACCUUCAAACUGGCUGUUAUUAAGCCUCUCAUCAAAAAAAACACAACUUGACCCCAAAUAACUAGUUAAUUAUAGACCAAUCUCGAAUCUCCCUUUUCUGUCCAAGAUACUAGAAAAGGUGGUAUCCUCACAAUUAUAUUCCUUCUAAGAGAAAAAUGGUAUAUGUGAGGAUUUCCAGUCAGGAUUUCCAGUCAGGAUUUAGACCGUAUCAUAGUACUGAGACUGCUCUCCUUGGAGUUACAAAAGAUCUGCUCUUAUCAUCUGAUCGUGGGUGUAUCUCUCUAUUAGUUUUAUUGAAUCUUAGUGCUGCGUUUGACACGAUUGACCACAACAUUCUUCUGCAUAGACUUGAACACUUUGUUGGCAUCAGUGGAAGUGCAUUAGCAUGGUUUAAAUCGUAUUUAUGUGACCGCCAUCAGUUUGUAGAAGUGAAUGAAGAUGUAUCAUAUCGAUCACAACAGCAGUAUGGAGUACCUCAAGGCUCAGUACUAGGGCCGCUACUCUUCAUGCUUUAUAUGUUACCCUUGGGAGAUAUCAUCAGGAAACAUGGUGUUAGCUUUCACUGUUAUGCUGAUGAUACUCAGCUCUAUAUUUCUUUGUGGCCCGGUGAAACACACCAAUUUGAAAAACUAAUGGAAUGCAUAGUCGAUGUAAAAACUGGAUGACGAGUAAUUUCUUACUGCUAAAUUCUGAAAAAACAGAGGUGUUAAUUAUAGGACCUAAAAACUCUGCUUGUGAUAACCUAGAAACUGUCUAAGAUGUGAUGGUUGCUCUGUCAAUUCUUCAUCAUCUGUUAGGAACCUAGGUGUGCUAUUUGAUCGCAAUCUUUCCUUAGAAAGCCACAUUUCUAGCAUUUGUAAAACUGCAUUCUUCCAUCUCAAAAAUAUAUCUACAUUACGGCCUAUGCUCUCAAUGUCAAAUGCAGAAAUGUUAAUCCAUGCAUUUGUGACCUCAAGGUUAGUAUAUUGUAAUGCUUUAUUGGGUGGUUGUUCUGCACGCUUAGUAAACAAACUACAGCUAGUCCAAAAUGCAGCAGCAAGAGUUCUUACUAGAACCAGGAAGUAUGACCAUAUUAGCCCGGUCCUGUCAACACUGCACUGGCUCCCUAUCAAACAUCAUAUAGAUUUUAAAAUAUUGCUUAUUACUUUUAAAGCCCUGAAUGGUUUAGCACCUCAGUAUUUGAAUGAGCUCCUUCUACAUUAUAAUCCUCUACGUCCGCUACGUUCUCAAAACUCUUUUCCUGUUUGGCGCCUAAACUCUGGAAUAACCUACCUUACAUUGUUCGGGAGGCAGACACACUCUUGCAGUUUAAAUCUAGAUUAAACACCCAUCUCUUUAACCUGGCUUACACAUAACAUACUAAUAUGCUUUUAAUAUCCAAAUCCGUUAAAGGAUUUUUAGGCUGCAUUAAUAAGGUAAACCGGAACCAGAAACACUUCUCAUAACACCCUAUGUACUUGCUACAUCAUUAGAAGAAUGGCAUCUACGCUAAUGUUUGUCUGUUUCUCUCUUAUUCCGAGGUCACUGUAGCCACCAGAUCCAGUCUGUAUCCAGAUCAGAGGGUCACUGCAGUCACCUGGAUCCAGUACGUAUCCAGACCAGAUGGUGGAUCAGCACCUAGAAAGGACCUCUACAGCCCUGAAAGACAGCACAGACCAGGACAACUAAAGCCCCAGAUACAGAUCCCCUGGAAAGAUCUUGUCUCAGAGGACCACCAGGACAAGACCACAGGAAACAGAUGAUUCUUCUGCACAAUCUGACUUUGCUGCAGCCUGGAAUUGAACUACUGGUUUCGUCUGGUCAGAGGAGAACUGGCCCCCCAACUGAGCCUGGUUUCUCCCAAGGUUUUUUUUCUCCAUUCUGUCACCGAUGGAGUUUCGGUUCCUUGCCGCUGUCGCCUCUGGCUUGCUUAGUUGGGGUCACUUCAUCUACAGCGAUAUCGUUGACUUGAUUGCAAAUAAAUGCACGGACACUAUUUAACGGAAAAGAGAUGACAUAACUGAAUUCAAUGAUGAACUGCCUUUAACUAUCAUUUUGCAUUAUUAACACACUGUUUUCAUAAUGAAUGUUGUUCAGUUGCUUUGACGCAAUAUAUAUUUUUUAAAGUGCUAUAUAAAUAAAGGUUACUUGACUUGA